AGUGCGCAGUUUCAGAGAAACGAAACUUAUCUCUUUGGCUUAGUCAGUGUUACAGUAAAAUAGCAGAGGUCUUCUCAGAACCAGGAAAUAUCUCCUGCUCUUUCUCAAACAGAUUCAGAGAAACUACACUGCAUUCUGGACUACAACUAAUCUCUGUCAAUUUGAGCAGUAAAAUGGCACAGGCUGCAGGCCUUCUGGUUCAGGACCAGUUGAGCUGCUCGAUCUGUCUGGAUAUACUCAAGGAUCCAGCGACUAUUCCCUGUGGACAUAAUUACUGUAUGGGCUGUAUUAAGGGCUGCUGGGAUCAGGAUGAUAAUACUGGUGUCUACAGCUGUCCCCAGUGCAGAGAAACUUUCACCUCAAGGCCUGUCCUGAAGAAAAACACCUUACUGGAUGAAGUGGUGGAACAAUUGAAGAAGACAGGACUCCAAGCUGCUCCUCCUGCUCACUGUUACGCUGGACCUGGAGACGUGGAGUGUGAUUUCUGCACUGGGAGAAAGGGCAAAGCCGUCAAGUCCUGUUUGGUGUGUCUGGCCUCUUACUGCGAAACUCAUCUCCAGCCUCACUAUGAAUCUCCUGCUCUUAAGAAGCAUAAUCUGGUUAAAGCCACUGGAAACCUUCAGGAGAAGAUCUGCUCUUGUCAUGACAAAGCGCUCGAGAUUUACUGUCGUACCGAUCAGCAGUUUAUCUGUUAUCUCUGUACAAUUGAAGAUCACAGAGGCCAUGAUACAGUUUCAGUUGCAACAGAAAGGACUGAGAAACAGAAGCAGCUGGGGGUGACACAGAGUAAAUUCCAGCAGAGAAUCCAGGAGAGAGAGAAGGAGCUGCAGGAUCUGAGACAGGCUGUGCAGUCACUCAAGCGCUCUGCACAGGCAGCAGUGGAGGACAGUGAAAGGAUCUUUACUGAGCUGAUCUGCUCUAUUAAAAGAAGGUGCUCUGAGGUGAAAGAGCUGAUCAGAAAUCAGGAGAAGGCUGAAGUGAGUCGGGCUGAGGGACAUUUGGAGCGACUGGAGCAGGAGAUUGCUGAGCUGAGGAGGAGAGACACUGAGCUGGAGCAGCUUUCACACACAGAGGAUCACAUCCAUUUCCUCCAGAGCACUCAGUCUCUCUGUGUCCCUCCUGGACCUGUAGACUUAUCCAGCAUCACUAUCAACCCACACAUCUCCUUUGAGGCUGUGAGGAAAUGUGUCUCUGAGCUGAAAGAGCAUUUGGAGGACGUCUGCAAGGGUGAAAUGUCUAAGAUCUCCAAGGCAGGCAGAGCAAUGGGCAUUUAUGGCUGCUUCACUGAGACCAGAGAGCCUUCAGAAGCCAGAGUCACAGCAGCUGAAGUGGAGACCUGUCCCACCUGCUUGAAGCCCUGGCAGAACAAGCAGAGGCUGAUAUGUACUCAUGCCUUCUGUGCAGCCUGUCUGCGUGACUCUGUAUCUAGAGUGGGUCGUCAGUGUCCAGUGUGUCUAAAAGCACUCACAGUAGUGGGAGACCAGCCAAAGGGACAGAUGACAGAGCAAAAUGACUUUUACCUUUUUUUAUGUAUUACCUACAAUAUUCCCAAUGGAAUACAGACGGAGGCCCAUCCCAACCCAGGAAAGCCCUUUAAGGGAAAGGAGAUAGAGGCCCGGUUACGAGGCGGCCCAGAGGGUCAGGAGGUGCUGAAGCUGCUGCAAAGAGCCUUUGACCAGAAGCUGGUUUUUACUGUGGCUGCAACCGAUGGAGCUGAAGACAGAGUCGUCUACGCUGACAUCCCCCAUGCAGAAAACUGGUAUGAGUGCAUGCAUCCUGGCUUCCUGCAGAAGGUGAAGGCGGUACUCAGAGCCAAAUUCAUUGAAUGAUUGGAUGAACAGAGACAUCAGAUCCUCAGCACAGCACCACCAAAUGGACCAGAAGAGAAAAUCACCACAUUACAAAGAUGGGCACACGAUAGACAGACAUUAGAGACCGAGAGGAACCAGCCAGUUGACCUUUGCACUCUAUGAGGUCAGGAAGCAGAAUCAUAACUGAAGGUAGCAGUAGGUCACUGCUUUAGAAACACAUAUGUGAUAAAUCUACUCAAUCCUGAUGGAUCUGAUUCUAAUAACUCUCUGAUAGACUCUAUUACGCUGUGUGCUCCUCUGUUCCUGUGUAUGCAGUAACUGGAUUGGAUCUUCAAUAAUGAUGUCAUACAUCAAUCAAGUGUAGCUCCUCCCCACGUUACUGUAUCAUUUCCUCUCUGGAUUGUCUCCCAGAGAACAAUGUACACUAAUUUCUUAAUAUCUAUAUAUAAUCAUUUCUUCUCAGUAUAAAAACACUUAAUGACAGAGGCUCACCUUAAAAAUAAUGUGUUUCUCUUGAGGGUGAUAAAAACAUGCCAAAUACACAGUAUAAUAUGACAGUGUAAGGAUGCAUUAUACAAACAGUAUCAUUUUGGAUGCAUUCAUAUUUAGCUUUAUUAGUAAAAAAAUAUACCCAGUACAUGUACUGUUUUUAACAGAGAAUGUCUGUGUUAAAAAUAAAUAAUAAAUAAAUAAAUACUAUAUAUAUAUAUA